CUUUAGUAUGUAUCAUGAUAUGAAGAAUGGUAACAUCUCCCUUGUUACGGUUGUUGCAAAUAUUUCUAACAAGAAACAGCUCAAAAGUCAUGAUUCGCGAGGACCGUGCUCACCAAAUCGUAUACGAGAAUCUGGGUGUUUUGUCUGCAACAGCAAAGUUGAAGGAUGCUUGAUAAAUAGACCUACCUAAUUUCUAACCUGUUUAUUUCGAUAUUCAUACAUUUGGAGAGCGUGGAAUAUCUCAUUAUGAUAAUAACAUAUAAUAACAUAAAUUAUUAUUUGAUUUAAUUUUAUCACAUGAAUACUUCUCGACUAGAGUUCCAUAUUCAACACUUUCUUCCAGAAAAAAAAUAGAGAGGAAAUAGAUACAGUAAAAGAUUGGAUGCUUACAAUUACGGGAUGUUUACGCGAUUCAAGAAGAAUUUUAGCAAAUAUCAAAUAUAAAUACUAUUGAUACAUCUGUGAAAACUAUAUAAUAAUAUAGAGUAAGUGUAAUAGUACAACAGAUUUUAUUUUAAAGAAAUUCUAUAUGUUCUAUAUUUAUAUAAAUAACACUUAUAAACAGAAAUAUAUUUUAAAACUAUAUUGUUUAUUGAUGAGGAUAUGAUUCAUAAUAUAUGCAAUCAAAGAUUUUACAAAUUUUAAAUUUGUUCAUUACAUCUUAAAAGAUGAAGAUUAUUAAAAGAAAAUUUUAAUAAAUUUGGCAUUAAAGUAAAACUAGUGCUAAAUAAAAAAUUAAUUAUGUGAGUUAUUAUACAAUAUUAAUUACUGUGUGCAUUAUGAAAACUGUAAAAAUAGUCGUUCAUUGAAAGUUCAUAGAAUACAAAAGCUUUCAAGAAGAAAAAAAUAUUUUUGAAGUAAUAUAAAA